rnacentral:rRNA from 1 species
AACGAACGCUGGCGGCAUGCCUAACACAUGCAAGUCGAACGGGAUCCAGGCUUCGGCCUGGUGAGAGUGGCGGACGGGUGAGUAACACGUGGGAACCUGCCUUUUUGGUUCGGGAUAACCGCGGGAAACUGCGGCUAAUACCGGAUGCUCCCGAGAGGGGAAAGAUUUAUCGCCAGAAGAGGGGCCCGCGUCCGAUUAGGUAGUUGGUGAGGUAAUGGCUCACCAAGCCGACGAUCGGUAGCUGGUCUGAGAGGAUGAUCAGCCACACUGGGACUGAGAUACGGCCCAGACUCCUACGGGAGGCAGCAGUGGGGAAUAUUGGACAAUGGGGGCAACCCUGAUCUAGCAAUGCCGCGUGAGUGAUGAAGGCCUUAGGGUUGUAAAGCUCUUUUGCCAGGGAAGAUGAUGACUGUACCUGGAGAAUAAGCCCGGCUAACUUCGUGCCAGCAGCCGCGGUAAU